rnacentral:rRNA from 1 species
AGUGAACGCUGGCGGUAGGCCUAACACAUGCAAGUCGAACGGCAGCACAGUAAGAGCUUGCUCUUACGGGUGGCGAGUGGCGGACGGGUGAGGAAUACAUCGGAAUCUACUUUUUCGUGGGGGAUAACGUAGGGAAACUUACGCUAAUACCGCAUACGACCUACGGGUGAAAGCAGGGGAUCUUCGGACCUUGCGCGAUUGAAUGAGCCGAUGUCGGAUUAGCUAGUUGGCGGGGUAAAGGCCCACCAAGGCGACGAUCCGUAGCUGGUCUGAGAGGAUGAUCAGCCACACUGGAACUGAGACACGGUCCAGACUCCUACGGGAGGCAGCAGUGGGGAAUAUUGGACAAUGGGCGCAAGCCUGAUCCAACCAUACCGCGUGGGUGAAGAAGGCCUUCGGGUUGUAAAGCCCUUCUGUUGGGAAAGAAAAGCAGCAGGUUAAUACCCCGCUGUUCUGACGGUACCCAAAGAAUAAGCACCGGCUAACUUCGUG